rnacentral:piRNA from 1 species
UGAGAGAUGGCAGGCCAUUUAGCUGACUCU